GAAAAGAAAUUCAAGUUUGAAGAACUUGAGAGACAUACCCAAGGAUACCACUGUUGAGAGUUCCCAAUGCUCCCUCCUAGCAGCUACCCUAUCAUAUAUCCUUAGGCUCCUCCGACUGACCCAACAUGCAAGAUAUCAAUCAUAUGGUUCUGUGCCUGGCAAAGCUGUACUUUUAAUCAGUUUAUGUUAGUCCUGGUACUCUGAAGAACAGAUACCAAGACAAAGGGCUCAACACCCUCUACUUCCACCUGAGAACAGACAAAUUGCUGUGAGAUAACAAGAGAUGAACAGGCAGGUACAACCCAUGGCUUUUUUUUUCUCUUGGUGUGUG